rnacentral:rRNA from 1 species
UACGUAGGGGGCAAGCGUUGUCCGGAAUCAUUGGGCGUAAAGCGCGUGUAGGCGGCCCGAUAAGUCCGCUGUGAAAGUCCAGGGCUCAACCCUGGAAUGCCGGUGGAUACUGUCGGGCUUGAGUCCGGAAGAGGCGAGUGGAAUUCCCGGUGUAGUGGUGAAAUGCGCAGAUAUCAGGAGGAACACCGAUUGCGAAGGCAGCUCGCUGGGACGUAACUGACGCUGAGACGCGAAAGCGUGGGGAGCAAACAGG